GGUACUCUCUUCAGCUGAACUGUUGAUAAAGUAAUGUAACACCCUAAAGGUCUAGGACAUAACCUAGAUACUCACGUGAUGAACUAAACCUUAAAACACUCUUUCUAAGCCUAAAUAUAGUUUAUAAACCAUUUAGGAUGUUUUAGAGUUAAGACGUCAAGGAACGCCCAUGAAAUCCGGAAACUAGCUAAAUCGACCUAGUUGACGUCCCUAUGUUUGGUGAAGGUUCGGGAGGGUCAUAUGAAGUCCGAAACUUAUAAGAAGACUUUAAAUAGGUAGAAUGCAGUACAAAGGGUCCAAACCUCCACUAACGAAUCCCCAAGGACCGCCUGAAGGAUCCAGGAGGAGGACCCAAACCUUGGUGAGCACGCUGCCAAAGCAGCUUGCGGCAGCCUAGAAAUAAAGGUCACUGCGCUACGCGCAGCUGACACGUGGGGUGAAAAUUUACCUUGCGUUGCAUGCACUCCACGUGGUCCACUGCGUCAAAUUGGAUUUCAAAAACAAAAUAUGAAAUUAGCCCCACGAUGCGCAGCCACUUCCCCAGCUUCAUUGAAAUGAUUUCUUAAGCAUUUUGACCUAGCAAAAAGACCCAUUUAAGUGAAGGUCUUUUGGGUAAUUUAGGGGGUGACUAUAUAGUGACUAAGGGUCAGAUUUAUGUCAUUUUUGACUCACCUAAAUCAAACUCCCAAAAUAUUACCCAAAAGCUCUCACCUCUCUCUACUUUCUCUCUCCCUGAAUCCUCCAUUAAAGAAGCAAAAAAGCUUGAAGAAGAAGACCAAUUUCUCUAGGAUUUCACUUCAAUUUCGUGGAUUAAUCUUAAUUAAGGUUCCGGUCGUUGAAGGUUUCGUGACAACUUUUGAAGGAAGUCUUGGAUUCUCAUUCUCCAAGUUGGAAAAUCUGUCCAAAGAUGAACGCGGAAGUUUUUGAGCAACAAAUGCAAAAAAGUUACUACCUACGCAGCUUAUGACGUUCUGUCAAGCUUGCGACGGUCCGUAGGUGGCAACGUAGUGAAGCUGCUAAAGGAAGAUGGGAAAGUCUGACCAAGUGUGGGAUUAAGGAAGUUCAUGACGGACCGUCAUAGCCUCGACGGUCCGUCCUACUGGUUCGUCGCGAUGACCAGAGAGUAGCGCAGUACCCAAUUUCCAAGGAGUUUAAGUGUUAUGGAACGGAGACCCUCUAAAGACCGUCAUGCUUGGAACGGUCCGUCAUAC